GAUCCUGGCUUAGAACGAACGCUGGCGGCGCGUUUUAAGCAUGCAAGUCGAGCGGCAAGGGCCUUCGGGCCCCUAGAGCGGCGGACGGGUGAGUAACACGUGGACAAUCUGCCCCCCGGCCCGGGAUAGCCCAGGGAAACCUGGAUUAGUACCGGAUGAGACGGGACCCGCGAUGGCGGGACCCGGGAAAGGCGCUGCGGCGCCGCCGGGGGAUGAGUCUGCGUCCCAUUAGCUAGACGGCGGGGUAACGGCCCACCGUGGCGACGAUGGGUAGCCGGCCUGAGAGGGUGGACGGCCACAUUGGAACUGAGACACGGUCCAGACUCCUACGGGAGGCAGCAGCUAAGAAUCUUCCGCAAUGGGCGAAAGCCUGACGGAAGCGACGCCGCGUGAACGAAGAAGGCCGUGAGGUUGUAAAGUUCUUUUCGGGAGGGGGAACAACCGUGGCAGGGAAUGGCCGCGGGAUGACGUGAAUCCCGGAAUAAGCCCCGGCUAACUACGUGCCAGCCGCCGC
rnacentral:rRNA from 1 species